AAAGCGUGCGCAGGCGGUUUUGUAAGACUGUCGUGAAAUCCCCGGGCUCAACCUGGGAAUGGCGAUGGUGACUGCAAGGCUAGAGUUUGGCAGAGGGGGGUAGAAUUCCACGUGUAGCAGUGAAAUGCGUAGAUAUGUGGAGGAACACCGAUGGCGAAGGCAGCCCCCUGGGUCAAAACUGACGCUCAUGCACGAAAGCGUGGGGAGCAAACAGGAUUAGAUACCCGAGU
rnacentral:rRNA from 1 species